rnacentral:rRNA from 1 species
UACGUAGGAUGCAAGCGUUGUCCGGAUUUAUUGGGCGUAAAGCGUGCGUAGGCGGUUCGGCAGGUCCGAGGUGAAAGCGUGGGGCUCAACCCCAUUGAUGCCUCGGAAACCUCCGAGCUAGAGGACGGCAGAGGAAGGUGGAAUUCCCAGUGUAGCGGUGAAAUGCGUAGAUAUUGGGAGGAACACCGGUGGCGAAAGCGGCCUUCUGGGCCGACCCUGACGCUGAGGCACGAAAGCUCGGGGAGCAAACGGGAUUAGAAACCCUAGUAGUCC